UAUUCUCAGGGCGGGGUGAGAUUCCCCACCGGUGGUUGUAGCCCACGAGCGUUAAGCAUGAUCAGGUUAGAUUCCUGAGCCGACGGUAAAGUCCGGAUAGAAGAGAGUU
rnacentral:ncRNA from 1 species